rnacentral:lncRNA from 1 species
AGGAGAUGGGUAUUGCUGCGUCCAUGGUAUGGAAGCACGACAAGCAGGAAUUUACUAGGAGUACUUCAAGUAGAGGACAGGCAAGCACAAUGGUUAUGGUUCCACAUGGAAAAUAUGCAAGAGUUGUCAUGACAUUGUUUUUUCUUAUAAUGUGUGGCCUCCUGUCUGAGUAUUUCAAGUAAAGGAAAACGUGAACAUGA